rnacentral:rRNA from 1 species
AAUGAACGCUGGCGGCAGGCCUAAAACAUGCAAGUCGAACGCCGUAGCAAUACGGAGUGGCGCACGGGUGAGUAACACGUGGGAAUAUGCCUUUUGGUACGGAACAACUUUUGGAAACGAAAGCUAAUACCGUAUGGUCCCUUCGGGGUAAAGAUUUAUCGCCAAAAGAUUAGCCCGCGCUGGAUUAGCUAGUUGGUGAGGUAAUGGCUCACCAAGGCGACGAUCCAUAGCUGCUCUUAGAGGACGAUCAGCCACACUGGGACUGAGACACGGCCCAGACUCCUACGGGAGGCAGCAGUUAGGAAUAUUGGACAAUGGGCGCAAGCCUUAUCCAGCCAUGCCGCGUGAGUGAUGAAGGCCUUCGGGUUGUAAAGCUCUUUAGCCGAUGAAUAUAAUGACUGUAGUCGGAAAAUAAGCCCCGGCUAACUUCGUGCCAGCCGCCGCCGUAAAAC